CCUGCCCAAGAGAUCGGGAUAACACCUGGAAACAGAUGCUAAUACUGGAUAACAACAGAUGAUGCCUAUCAACUGUUUAAAAGAUGGUUCUGCUAUCACUCUUGGAUGGACCUGCGGUGCAUUAGCUAGUUGGUAGGGUAACGGCCUACCAAGGCGAUGAUGCAUAGCCGAGUUGAGAGACUGAUCGGCCACAUUGGGACUGAGACACGGCCCAAACUCCUACGGGAGGCAGCAGAC
rnacentral:rRNA from 1 species